rnacentral:rRNA from 1 species
UACGUAGGGGGCAAGCGUUGUCCGGAUUCAUUGGGCGUAAAGAGCUCGUAGGCGGCUUGGCAAGUCGGGUGUGAAACCUCCAGGCUCAACCUGGAGACGCCACCCGAUACUGCCAUGGCUAGAGUCCGGUAGGGGACCACGGAAUUCCUGGUGUAGCGGUGAAAUGCGCAGAUAUCAGGAGGAACACCCGUGGCGAAGGCGGCUCUCUGGGACGGUACUGACGCUGAGACGCGAAAGCGUGGGGAGCGAACAGG